AUCAGCUUGCAUAUUCUCUGUUUGUGGUAUUUUGGCAGGAUUGUUUUAUCCUAAAAAGAGGUUAAAAUAGACUUCUUGAUAUAAGACAAGGUUCAGAAUAAAACACUAUCACAGCAAGGCUGCUGGAGAGCCUUUCCACAUCUCUCUUUCUCUCUGAUUUUGCUGAUUCAUGCUGUAGAGUGCUGUGUCUUAUGAACACAAAUCAAUAUUCCAAAGAUUUUGGAAAGGAUUCAUAAGCAUGAAACCUAAGAAGGAGAACUUGCUUCUUUUUCUCGUCGAAUAUCAUCAUUUUCAGUGAAGGUCAUCGCACAGGUGUGCUUGUUUUAUUGUUUGCUGUUUGUGCCACAUGGAUAAAUAACACUCUGAAGUGGAAAAAAAACAUCUUGACAACCUACAAGUCACAAUUUCAUACUUGAAGAGGUCCAGAUUUUGUCCUCUGGGAGAACAGAGCAAUUGACCACACGGGGGAGACAGAACACCGAAUUUAACCAAGCUGAAUCGCGUGAAAAAAUAUCCAAAAGACUGGAGGUCCCCCUGGUGGCGAGAAUCAACCAAAGCACCCCUUGAAACAAGACCACAACAGUGGCAGAGAGGAGCUUGGCAGCGCCAGGCCUGUUGCCGUCACAGAUUGGGUACCUGGCUGGUAAAAGGAAGGCGACA